rnacentral:rRNA from 1 species
GGAGUUAGCCGGUGCUUCUUCUGUGAGUGAUGUCCUUCCUGCCGGUUAUUGACCCGCAGGCCUUCUUCCUCACUGAAAGUGCUUUACAACCCGAAGGCCUUCUUCACACACGCGGCAUGGCUGGAUCAGGGUUGCCCCCAUUGUCCAAUAUUCCCCACUGCUGCCUCCCGUAGGAGUCUGGGCCGUGUCUCAGUCCCAGUGUGGCUGAUCAUCCUCUCAGACCAGCUACGGAUCGUCGCCUUGGUGAGCCGUUACCUCACCAACCAGCUAAUCCGACAUAGGCUCAUCCGAUAGCGCGAGGCCCGAAGGUCCCCCGCUUUCCCCCGUAGGGCGUAUGCGGUAUUAGCCUGGGUUUCCCCAGGUUAUCCCCCACUACCGGGCAGAUUCCUAUGCAUUACUCACCCGUCCGCCGCUCGCCACCAGGGAGCAAGCUCCCCGUGCUGCCGCUCGACUUGCAUGUGUUAGGUCGUCGCCGCCACGCGUUCUAAUACUGAGCCACUGAUACAAACCUACUCGUA